AAGGAAAAUAUUUGCUCAUCUUUCUAGCUGAUCACCUAUUCAAUGUUGAGUCACCAUGGUAACAUGUGCGACGCUAUACAAACAUUUUUGAUGUUAAUUAUGUUAAAUAUAAAUGAUGAUGAAAUCUCAUCAAUUAUUAACCCGUAAACCGGAAUAUUUCAGAGGUUUGGGAUAGCAUAGGGCUUUUUUACUCUCUCAAGAUUAGGAGAUAUUCAAUUUGAAUACUUCAUUCUUAUGGAGAUCAUUUGGCUUGGACAGGUGAUUUUCUAUCUUAUUUGUUGCAGCUUUAUUAGUAUUGCGAAUUACUUAGCUACAAUAAAUAUAACGCCUGUCCAUUGUUAUUUAUUUUGAUUGUUUAUAUAUUUUUUCCAUGUUGUAUUAUUUGUUUUUCUUAAUAUGAAAGAACAUAUACCAGAGGAAAUUAUCACAAAAAAACAAUAAACAGCUGGAAAUCACAGCAGACGAAAUGUUUCCCAUACACUAUUCUAUAGUCUCUGCAGUGAAUUCUUUUUUUGGAGACUUUAAUUUAUUUUACUGUUUAAAAUUUCAGUGUUUCAAUCAUCUUGAUUUUUAUCAAAACAUACAUACAAACUCAAAAGAUUCUUUUGAUGUGCGACAUUUAUGGCUGAUUGCGACAUUUUUAGCUGAUUACGACAUUUAUGGCUGAUUGCGACGUUUAUGGUUGAUUGCGACAUUUAUGGUUGAUUGCGACGUUUAUGGUUGAUUGUGACAUUUAUGGUUGAUUGCGACAUUUAUGGCUAUUGCGACGUUUAUGGUUGAUUGCGACAUUUAUGGAUGUAACAGAUGUGUUAUUAUUCAAAAAUUUUCCGUUUAUUGUCAAGGCUGUAGCCUUUUUCUAUAGCGUAUAAUCAUAGGGGCAAAAUAUCCUUUUCUAAUGUCGGUAAAAUCGGAUGUAUAGCUAUACAUGCGAAUCGAAUCUAUAUUUUCUUAAUUUUUUUGAAUUAUGCCCAGCGCAGCAUAUAAGGAAAUAAACAAAUAAUAAUAAUAAAUCAAAUUGAAAAAUUUAUCCUUAACCAAUUCGUGAAGUUCCGACUAGCGGAUUUAGCGACAUGUUGUCAGAAUGGGAACAUUGGAAGUGUAUAUUAUAGAGUUAUUUACAACAAGACAUGCAUUUUUUCUUACUGUGUAUUAUAGUUAUCCCUACUCUUCAGCAGCAGACACUUUGUACCAUGAUUUUUAUUUAUAAAAACUUGUAUAGCUGUA